CCCUCUGAUUUGGUUGAAGUGACACCUCGAUCUGAUCCAGCAAUUGAGUCUUCACACCAUGCCCCUGGGCAUAUGAUACACGUGUAAGAAAAAAGCAGGAGGAGGAAAUGAAAAGAAUGUCCUGUAAAGUGAACAUGAAAAUACGUUGAAAAGAAACUCUGGAGAGAGCUAGUGAACAGUAUAAGGCAAGCAUAGUAACUGAAAAGUGUGUGAUUCUAUGGCUCUGCUGGUACGUAUUCUCAGCCUGUAGAACCCUCUUCCUGGGAUGGCCUGGUGCAUGCCAUCAAGCAUUCUUACAGCUAACCUUCAGCGUGAGUUUAUGUGAGGGCCAACAGAGCUGCACACAAAGGCUGGAAAAGAAUUUGAGGAAGAGGCCACUGUCUAUUUUGUGACACAAGGAGAAAGUGUUUUCUGCAUUUUUCUAAAUGAAGAUUAGUCACUCAUUGAUUUUCACAUUACUUUGGACGAGGUUGCUGGCAUUAUACCUGAUUGGUUCAUUCUUCCUUUCCUGUCCAGUACAUCUUCAAGAAAGCCAAAAUGUACUGUUUGCCACGUGGCCAGAUGGAUUUGGAUAUGCAAACUCCUCUAAUUCCCUAACUUACAGAACAUUGAUGACAUUUUUCACACAUUGAGGUAUGUGAGUCAGACCUUACAUUUCGAAGGGUUGGGAUGGCUAAAAAGGUUGUGCUGGAG
rnacentral:lncRNA from 1 species